UGUUGAAAAUGUUAUCUUUUUUUAUUAUUAAAAACUAGAGUAGUUGAUAGAACAAUUAGACAAUUGCACAUGAGAUGUCAUGUUUACCUCAUAUUACCGUAUAAAGAUCAAUUUUUAACAACAAAAUCAGAUAGAAUUUUAAUA
rnacentral:pre_miRNA from 1 species